rnacentral:hammerhead_ribozyme from 1 species
CUGCCACUGAAGAGUCCCACAAUAGGACGAAACGGCUGUCCAGUAC